AAACUGGACGAGGGCUGGUGGCGGCCAAAAUGGGUGUGGUGAUGAUGUUAAAUAUUGUGAGGGUUUUCUGAGUUAAUAUUAACUAAGGCGGUCCACAGGAAACACUCAAUAAAUGUUAGUUAUGGAUACUCUGCCACGAAAAUGGGGGGGGUAGGAUGGAAGGAUUCUUAGUGGGGGGCAAAUAAUUGUGAUAAUAGCAUGUAAUAUGUGACAGGCAUUAUCGUAAGUCACAAUUUUGUGAAGUAGUUCCUAUUAUUUUUAAAUUUUAUUUUUUUGAGACAGAGACAGAGCAUGAGCAGGGGAGGGGCAGAGAGAGAGGGAGACACAGAAUCCGAAGCAGGCUCCAGGCUCUGAGCUGCCAGCACAGAGCCCAACGCGGAGCUCGAACUCACGGACUGUGAGAUCAUGGCCUGAGCUGAAGUCGGACGCUUCACUGAGCCACCCAGGCGCCCCGAGGUAGUUCCUAUUAUUAAUGUUGCUUCGCAGAUAAGGAAACUGAGGUUACACGACUUAGCCAUGUGACCUUGAGCAAGUUGCUGAACAUCUCUGUGCUUCAGUUUCCUCAUCUGGCAAAUUAUGAUAAUAGUGCCGGGGGCUGGAAUGGACUCAAGGAGGGGAGUUGUUCUUGCACAGCAGUUCUUUCUCCAGCUCCCUCCACUGGGCAACCUCUGCCCCCAAAUUCUAAUAGAAAGCGUGUGCCUGGGAAGUAGGAGGAGUUCACCCGUGUGCCCCUCCAGCUCCCUCACAUGCCUUGUCUAGAUGUGUAAAUAUCAGUCCCGCAGGAGGCCGGUUUGCCCUCCUAAUCUCCCUCUCUCAUUCUUCACCAUUUCCUACCGGGCUGUAGGCUGGGGCUGAAGAGAUAAGCCGUCUGGGGUUCAGCAUCGCUGACUAACAAACAGAUUGACAGCCCCAUCACCCAGUAGCCUGGCCCUAUGACCAUUUUGAAAACCCCAGUUCCACCCUUCUCUUUCCUUCCACUCUUUUCCUACCAGAACAUGGGUUUUUUUUGUCCCAGUGGAAGAGGAUCAAGUCCUAAGACCUUUAAACCCCUACAUACACCAAAGAAAACAUUUGAUACACUGGGAACAUUCUGGGGUUUUGACGCCUGCAGACUAAUAGAGUAGGGAACCCUGUAAGACCCAUGGCCCAUUUUUCUGUAUAGUCAGAAGACGGUUCCUGAAGAGCAGAGGUCAGUAAACUUUCUCUGUAAAGGGCCAGAUAGAUAGUAAAUAUUCUAGGCUUUGCAGGCCUUAUAAUGGCCUCUUUGGCAUAUUCUUUCUUUCCAUUUAAAAAUGUAGGGAUUGGCUGAAGUCUGGCUUUGGCCUGAAGGCUAUAGUUUUCUGGUCCUACUGUAGAGUGUCAGUCUUUGAUUUCCUUUAUCUGGCUGGGAUUCUUUUACAGGAGGAGUGCAGAGUUUCCAUGCAUCCUGAGGAGAGGUACUCCUUUUGUGUGAGGACUGGGAUUCAUGGACAGGAUCAGGUCACUUCUGGUGUUCUACUGGGUCAACCUGUGUUCCUGGACAUAGUGAAGACAGGGAUUCCUGUAGUUUCUAUAGUUUUGUUCCUCUACUGAACCAAGCAGGGGUUUCUCUUUUUCAUUUUUUUACGUUUAUUUUUGAGAGAGAGAGAGAGAGAGAGAGAGCGCGCAAUCAGGGGAGUGGUAGACAGGGAGACACAGAAUCAAGCAGGCUGCAGGCUCUGGGCUGUCAGCACAGAGCCUGAUGUGAGGCUUGAACCUACGAACUGUGAGAUCAUGACUGAGCCGAAGUUGGAUGCUUAACUGAGUCACCCAGGCGCCCCCAAGCAGGGGUUUCUACAGGACAAGACAGUUGUUUCUGGAGAGCUCCAGACUGGAGGAUCCCGUACAAGUUCAGGAUGGUACUCCAUAAACUGCAUUAUGACAGUGUCCUACAAAGAGACCAGGUGGUCCAGAUCAGGGUCAGCACAGGUGUUUCUGUACAGGUUCAGAGCUGUGUUAAUGUAGACCAUAGGAACAGGUGUUCGUGUCUAGAUUCAAUCAAGAAAUUGUUAUCAAUAGGGCUAAAUUAUGCUAGCUCCUGUAACCCAGAAUUUUAGAGGAUUAACAAAUAAAUGUUUAUUUCUUGCUCAUACAAAGUCCAAUGUGAAUAUUUAUUACUGGUCAUUCAGGGACUCAGGUAGCUUCCAUUUUGUGGCUCUGCUCUCCUCUGAAUCCUUGGGGUUCUCACUAUUCAACUGGUAUAUGGGGAAGGAGAGAGAGUGGGGGAUUCCAUGAGAGGUUGUUAUGGGCCAGGCCUGGAAGAGGUGUAUAUCAUUGCCCAUAGGCCAUUGAUCAGAACUCUGUCACAUGUCCACAUCUAACCAUAAAGGAGGUCAGAAAAGUGAAUGAGGUUAGGAAGACAGGUUUGAUGAGCUAAUAGCAGUGCCUGCUACAGGAUUCUAUAAACCCCAAAGAGCUGCAAUGUCCAAUGUAGUAGCCACAGUCAGAAUAGUGGUUCCUGUACUGAGUGAGGGUGGGACUUCCAGGGAAAGGCCAGGGCUGUCAGAGUCACAUCAGGGCUUCCUGUUUGGGGUCAAGAGAGUAUUUCCAGAAAGCAAGGCUAGAGGUUCCUAUAAAGGAUCAGGUCAGAGAUUCCUGUCAGUCGAGUUAUGGGUUUCUAUUGAUAGGAAAAGGUUUUCUAUAGAGUCCAGUCAGAGGGUUCCGGUAUAGUUGUAGGCAAGGCUUCCUGUAGAGGGUCAGGGCUGUGGAGCUAACACAUGGUAAGGAUAGGAAGCCCUGUACGGUGUGUGUGUGUGUGUUGGGGGGGGGGGGGCUCCUGUGCCAGGUGAGGCUAUAGGAACCUGUAGAAGAUGAGGUCUGGGCUUGAAGUAGAGGGUCAGGAAAGGAUUUUUUUUUUUUUAAGGAAGGGGAUUUCUAUGUAAGUUCAAGACUAAAGUUCAUGUUAAGAGUGGGGACAUGGGUUCUUGUGAGAUCAGGAAUUGUGUAGAGUGACAUGGGGGUGGGGGCGCUCAUUGUCAACAAUGGAGGCAAGAGAUCGUAUAUUCAGUCAGUUCCUGGAGAGGUUGAAGAUGGAAUUUCUGCAAAGAGAGCCAGGUAGGGGUUCAGAACCAGAUUUCAUUGGGGCGCCUUUUAUUACUAAGCCUAGGUGGCUUAGUCGGUGAAGUGUCCAACUUUGGCUCGGGUCAUGAUCUCAUGGUUUGUGAGUUUGAGCCCGGCAUCGGGCUCUCUCCUGUCAGUACAGAGCCUGCUUUGGAGCCUCUGUCCCCCUCUCUCUGUUCCCCUUUCCUACUCAUCCUCUUUCUCUCUCAAGAAUAAAAAUUAAAAAAAAAAAAACCUGUUCAGAACUAGAUUUUAUUGCGAUUGAAGUGUUUCUAAAAUGUUAUCUGGAGGGCUAGGCUCCAAUACAGUGUGAAGACAGAGGUGUCCUGUGCAAGGUCAAGGCAGGAUUCCUAUAGAGAGGUCGAGGCUAGUGAAGAGGGUCAGGACAGGUGUUUCUAAAGAGAUGGUAAAAGGGCUUCCUUACAGUAUGAGUUCACAGAUUCCUAACUAGGGUUAAGUCAGAGGUUCCUGUGCCAUGGGAGGACGGGGUUUCCUCCUAUUCAAGGUGAGGGCUGAUAUUCCUAUCCAGGGUCAGGAUGGGUUUCCCGUUGCUAAAUAGAGAAAGAAUUCCCUUAGAGUAUCAGACUAGGGCAGCCAUUCUUCUAGGAGGUGAGGACUGGGGCUCCUGAACAAGGUGGGAGCAGGCACAUUUCCAGCACAGGUUCUGAAAGGGGUUUCCAUUCAAGACAAGGACAGGGGCUCCUACAAGGUGACAGGGCUGAGGUUCUAUGGGGUGACCAGGCAGGCAGGAGGCUUUUAUAAGGCCAGGGCAGUUCUGGACAGCCCCUGUAAUGAGCAUAGCCUGCUGUGAUUCCGCAGUGGGCUGGCAUGGCGACUAGCUUCAUAAGUGCUGUUCUAAGGACAACUGCUUACCCCCUACUGUGUUUAGGACAUGUGCCCCCCCCCCCCGCCCCCGCUCCUUGCAGCCCUUUUCUCUGGGGUUCUAGGAGAAAGCCAUAAAGAGAAGCAGCCCAAAAGCAAAUUCAGCUGAGUGGAUUGAGGAGUGAGUGAUGAGAGGGAGAGAGAGGCCAGUUAAGUGUGAGCAAGACUCACAUCAGGGGAAGCGGCCCCAUCCAAAAUCCACUCCUUAAGCAGUGGUCAGGGGGAGUUACUCCAGUUCUGAGCCUUACUUUUUCAUUAGUAAAAUGAAAAUGUAAAAUAAGUAUCCUUUCUUUGGAGCAUUUUUUUGCAGGCGUUCAUGAACUAAAGCAACUGAAGCCUCCCAGCCAUUGCCCGACCCACACAAACACUCAGCAAAUGGUGCUGCUUGCUGUCAGGAGCUGUUGGGGAGUAUGGACACUAAGCCUCAGAGCCUGGCUUUGGCCCCGUGUCACCAGUUGUGUGGCCUCAAACGAGCCACUUAACCUCUCUGGCUUAGGAUGCCACCCAACUCAGUGCAUGUUCCUAUGUAAGGGUUUUCCUUUUUGGAAGAACAGAUCCCACUCUGGGCAGAGCCAUUCACCCAGAGCUGCAGGCCGAGCUGGGCCGAGAGAGAUAAGAGAUGAAUGACAGGGAAGGCCCAUGGACAACCCCAUGGUCCUGCACUAGCCAUCUGACCUUGCCAGCUACCAUUCCAGCCCCAGCCCUCCCCCUUUACUGUCCUGCACAUGCCUUUUGUUCUCUGGAAGGGGGUCCAUCAUUUAGACCAACUGAAACCAUACAUGUCGAUACUUCCAUGAACAAGUAUACACAGAGCUGCUUACAUCGUCAGGCACUCGGAGACACUGUGACAUGGCACAUACCACAUGAUAUAUGCUCACACACACAGAGACUUGCGUAGGAAUACUUACCAGCCCCACGGAGAUACCCUGCCCUGUGGACCUUCAUCAUCACAUUGUUAUGCCACCACACCCCACCACACAGUCUUUGUUCAACAUUCCAAAAGUGUUUAUCAAUCAAGUUCUCUUUUUUUAAGUUUAUUUAUUUUUGAGAGAGAGAGAGAGAACAAGCUUUGGAGGGGCAGAGAGAGAAGGAGAAAGAGAAUCCCUCACUGUCAGCGCAGAGCCCGAUUCUGCUGGAACUCAUGAACUGUGAGAUCAUGACCCGAGCCAAAAUCAGGAGUCAGACACUUAACUGACUGAGCCACCCAGGCGCCUCUCGAUCACGUUCUAUGCCCCCUACGUGUGCCAUCACACUGUCUCAAAGAUCACAGCAGUGCACAGCCACACCAACACAACACCACAUGUUUCUUCUGCAUUUGCCGUCACACAUGCACUUCCACAUCCUCUCAUGCAGUCACCUGUGCCCUGCCUCUCUCUGUCACCUGGUGUCAUGCACACCAUAUUGCAAAGCCUCACCCCCUUGGUCACACACUGCAUCUCAUGCCGUGGUGUGUGACCAUCUCACAACCCAGAAGCUGUCACACAAAGUUUCCUAUACACUAUUUACAACUGCACAUCAUAACGUACCGUCGUGAAGUGUCACAUAUGUUGCCUCAGCCUCACAUGGCCAUACAUUGUAGCCCUACACUGUCAUCAAAGACUCCC